rnacentral:rRNA from 1 species
UGGGGAAUAUUGCACAAUGGGGGAAACCCUGAUGCAGCAACGCCGCGUGAGUGAUGACGGUCUUCGGAUUGUAAAGCUCUGUCUUCAGGGACGAUAAUGACGGUACCUGAGGAGGAAGCCACGGCUAACUACGUGCCAGCAGCCGCGGUAAUACGUAGGUGGCAAGCGUUGUCCGGAUUUACUGGGCGUAAAGGGAGCGUAGGCGGAUUUUUAAGUGGGAUGUGAAAUACUCGGGCUCAACCUGAGUGCUGCAUUCCAAACUGGAAAUCUAGAGUGCAGGAGAGGAAAGUGGAAUUCCUAGUGUAGCGGUGAAAUGCGUAGAGAUUAGGAAGAACACCAGUGGCGAAGGCGACUUUCUGGACUGUAACUGACGCUGAGGCUCGAAAGCGUGGGGAGCGAACA